rnacentral:rRNA from 1 species
ACACGCAUGACACACUGCAUAUCAAUAAGCGGAGGAAAAGAAACUAACAAGGAUUCCCUUAGUAACGGCGAGUGAAGCGGGAAGAGCUCAAAUUUGAAAUCUUAAAGGGUUUCCCUUUACGAAUUGUAGUUUAAAGAAGUGUUUUCUGUUGGAGUUUCGGUAAAAGUUCUUUGGAAUAGGACAUCAUAGAGGGUGAGAAUCCCGUAUUUGGUCAUUCUUUCUAGCUUUGUGAUACACUUUCAACGAAUCGGAUUGUUUGGGAAUGCAGUCCAAAAUGGGUGGUAAAUUUCAUCUAAAGCUAAAUAUUGGCGAGAGACCGAUAGCGAACAAGUACCGUGAGGGAAAGAUGAAAAGAACUUUGAAAAGAGAGUUAAACAGUACGUGAAAUUGUCAAAAGGGAAGCGUUUGACACCAGUGUUGUUUUUCCGAAAAUCAAUUAAAAAGAGUUGGAUUUUGUAUUGUUAAGACCUUAUCAGCUUACUGUACUUUUUUCUUGCUCUUUUUAAUGCACUUUUCGUUUAACAAGUCAACAUCAAUUUCUUUUGUUGUAAAAGAGGUCAUUGGAAGGUGGCUUUUCACUUCGGGAAAAGUGUUUAUAGCCUUUGGCUUCUACAAUCGGAGAGAUUGAGGUCUGCAGCGUAGAUCCUUCGGGGUUAGAUACAUUUGUGCUAAGCUAUAGUUCUUUAUAGACAACCUUGUUGACUAUGAUCAAUCCUGUAGCUUACUCGCUUAUGCUAUUUUACCUACGCUUAGGAUGUUGAGCGCAUGUCUCUCUCU